rnacentral:rRNA from 1 species
UAUGAAGGGUGCGAGCGUUGUUCGGAAUUACUGGGCGUAAAGGGUGUGUAGGCGGAUAGUUAAGAUAGCGGUGAAAUGCCCGGGCUUAACCUGGGAAUUGCCGUUAUGACUAAUUAUCUAGAGUAACAGAGAGGAUAUUGGAAUACCCAGUGUAGAGGUGAAAUUCGUGGAUAUUGGGUAGAACACCGGUGGCGAAGGCGAGUAUCUGGCUGUUAACUGACGCUGAGGCACGAAAGCAUGGGGAUCAAAC